rnacentral:ncRNA from 1 species
CCCUGGGGAUGACCCCAGGGAUUGGGGAUGACCCUGGGGAUGACCCCA